rnacentral:rRNA from 1 species
AAUGAACGUUGGCGGCGUGGAUUAGGCAUGCAAGUCGAGCGAGAACCGUAGCAAUACGGGGACAGCGGCGAAAGGGACAGUAAUGUGUAGGUACCUACCCCCGGGUUCGGGAUAGCUGCGGGAAACUGCAGGUAAUACCGAAUAAUGUCUUCGGACCAAAGGUGUGAUUCCACCUGGGGAGGGGCCUGCAUCCUAUUAGCUUGUUGGUGGGGUAACGGCUUACCAAGGCGACGAUGGGUAGCGGGUGUGAGAGCAUGACCCGCGUCAUUGGGGCUGAGACACUGCCCAGACACCUACGGGUGGCUGCAGUCGAGGAUCUUCGGCAAUGGGCGCAAGCCUGACCGAGCGACGCCGCGUGCGGGAUGAAGGCCUUCGGGUUGUAAACCGCUGUCGUAGAGGAGGAAAUGCAGGAGGGUUCUCCCUUCUGUUUGACCUAUUCUAGGAGGAAGUACGGGCUAAGUUCGUGCCAGCAGCCGCCGCGG